UUGCUUCUACGUGUAACUUAAAUCUAGCAGCUAUUUUUUUUGCCUAAGCCGACGAACGAAUUCUGUUGACGGAGCGCUGAUCAAUUAAUAUUUCACGUGCUUCCACCACCUUUGCCCAUUAGCGGCCAAAUCUCUGAGGACAAAUUAAGGCCUACUGAAAACCGUGGAGGCAGAAGGUGUCGCCUGGAGCCCAGAUAAACCCCGCGACAAAUAUGACCGCCUGACCCAACACGUCCACCCAUUUGCACGUAUGUCAGUAAUGAGCAUCCAUUUCUGGGGAUCGCGGCACUGGGAAAUUGCUGUUCACCUGUAGCAACAUCUCAAAAAACUCCAAAACUGGUCAACUGCCGAAAUGAUCCAUUGUCGUCUAUGGGCGCCCAUGAUUUCGAACAACGAAAGAAAACGAAGCUGUUCUCAUUAAAGGAAAUAGAGUUCAAGAGUAAAGAUGUCGAUCGAAUGCAACGAUCAAUUGGCUGCAACAAUGUCACCGCCGUAUUCCCCAGUUACGAAACGAAGUGUAGCCAAAGCAACCCUACUCGGCCUGGUCAACCCUAGUAACGUAUGAAUUAACGGCAAGCAUAACCCCAGACCCGCAUCAAAAUCACCAACGGAAUCCAACAUCUGUGUUGCAUUUUUCGAUCUGCUCAAGUCUGGCAAUGAUGCACGGAUGUCACGUAAUGGCCGCGUUGACUGCCAU